rnacentral:rRNA from 1 species
UACCAGCACCCCGAGUGGUCGGGACGAUUAUUGGGCCUAAAGCAUCCGUAGCCGGCCUUACAAGUCCUCCGUUAAAUCCAGCUGCUUAACAGAUGGGCUGCGGAGGAUACUAUAAGACUAGGAGGCAGGAGAGGCAAGCGGUACUCAGUGGGUAGGGGUAAAAUCCGUUGAUCCAUUGAAGACCACCAGUGGCGAAGGCGGCUUGCCAGAAUGCGCUCGACGGUGAGGGAUGAAAGCCGGGGGAGCAAACCGG